rnacentral:tRNA from 1 species
GGUCGAGGGGCAGGUUGGAUCAGCACGGGACUGCAAAUUCCGUUUGAAAUCGGUUCGAUUCCGAUCUCGGCUU